GACGAACGCUGGCGGCGCGCCUAACACAUGCAAGUCGAACGGAGCUUAGAGAGCUUGCUUUUUAAGCUUAGUGGCGAACGGGGGAGUAACGCGUGAGUAACCUGCCCUAGAGUGGGGGACAACAGUUGGAAACGACUGCUAAUACCGCAUAAGCCCACGGUGCCGCAUGACACUGAGGGAAAAGGAUUUAUUCGCUUUAGGAUGGACUCGCGUCCAAUUAGCUAGUUGGUGAGGUAACGGCCCACCAAGGCGACGAUUGGUAGCCGGACUGAGAGGUUGAACGGCCACAUUGGGACUGAGACACGGCCCAGACUCCUACGGGAGGCAGCAGUGGGGGAUAUUGCACAAUGGGGGAAACCCUGAUGCAGCGACGCCGCGUGGAGGAAGAAGGUUUUCGGAUUGUAAACUCCUGUCGUUAGGGACGAUAAUGACG
rnacentral:rRNA from 1 species